UAACAAUUAACUCAGAACUGAAGCGGACAAGGGGAAUCCGACUGUUUAAUAAAAAACAUAGCAUUGUGAUGGCCUGAAAAGGUGUUGACACAAUGUGAAUUCUGCCCAGUGCUUUGAAUGUCAAAGUGAAGAAAUUCAACCAAGCGCAGGUAAACGGCGGGAGUAACUAUGACUCUCUUAAGGUAGCCAAAUGCCUCGUCAUCUAAUUAGUGACGCGCAUGAAUGGAUCAAUGAGAUUCCCCACUGUCCCUAUCUGCUACCUAGCGAACACACAGCCAAGGGAACAGGCUUGGAAUAAUCAGCGGGGAAAGAAGACCCUUUUGAGCUUGACUCUAGUCCGACUUUGUGAAAUGACUUACGAGGUAUAGCCUAAGUGGGAGCUCACGCGAACCUGUAAAACCACUACUCGUUUGCCAUUUUACUUAUUCCGUGAAAUAGUGACCACUUUCCGGUGUUCUAGUAUUAAGGUUAGGCGCAAGCUCGACUGAACUAAGACGGAAGACAUGGUC
rnacentral:rRNA from 1 species